rnacentral:rRNA from 1 species
UACGUAGGGGGCUAGCGUUGUCCGGAUUUACUGGGCGUAAAGGGCGCGUAGGCGGCGCGGUAAGUCACUUGUGAAAUCUCUGAGCUUAACUCAGAACGGCCAAGUGAUACUGCAGUGCUAGAGUGCAGAAAGGGCAAUCGGAAUUCUUGGUGUAGCGGUGAAAUGCGUAGAUAUCAAGAGGAACACCUGAGGCGAAGGCGGGUUGCUAGGCUGACACUGACGCUGAGUGCGCGAAAGCCAGGGGAGCAAACGGG